rnacentral:rRNA from 1 species
CACGUAGGGCGCAAGCGUUGUCCGGAAUUAUUGGGCGUAAAGAGCUCGUAGGUGGUUUGUUACGUCUGCUGUGAAAACCUAGGGCUUAACCCUGGGCUUGCAGUGGAUACGGGCAGACUAGAGGUAGGUAGGGGAGAAUGGAAUUCCUGGUGUAGCGGUGAAAUGCGCAGAUAUCAGGAGGAACACCGGUGGCGAAGGCGGCUCUCUGGGCCUUACCUGACACUGAGGAGCGAAAGCGUGGGGAGCGAACAGG